rnacentral:lncRNA from 1 species
UUUUUCCCGGGCUUUCGGUCGGCGUUUUCCUUUUCUCGCGGGUUUGGGCGCGCAUCGAACUCUGAAGGGUCGGGAAGGCCUGUCGUUGGAAUGUGGUUGAGUUCCAGGGAGUGUACAGGCUGGAGGAUGGGACAAGACCUAUCUCUGUAUCGAUCAAGCACGGCGUUGGUGUUCCAGCUCAUCACCAAUCCUAAGGAAUUCAAGUGCCUCCCAGGAUGAAUACAGGUAAUUUUUCCAACUGGGGCAUUGGGGUGGCCUCUGUUGUUCCCCACAGAGCAAAUGGGCAGUGAAGCAGUGUUACCUUUUUGCUCCUUCAGUUUCUUCCUUUUGCAAUGAUUUUCCUGGGGAGGGAGACAGCAAGCAGCACAGUUGGUUCUGUGAGGGUGUUCUCUUCCUUCACACAUAUGUCACUGUCAGAUGAUUUGAAUUGACAAUGCUGAUCCUCUGUGAGGUCCAACACUUAAUAGCAUGUUAGAGUUCUGAUGGCAGUUUACAUGAAUGAAAAAGUGUUAUCUUGUGAUAGUAUUUAAAAAUAACCAUUUGCUGCUGUUCUGCAGGUUGUCUUGAUGGUGAUACAUUCAUCUGUCUUAAGAUCCCUGCUGAUCUGCUCAUGGUCAAACUCCUGGAAAGAGUUGAGAGUGGGGUACCUUGUUCCUGCAUCCUCAAAGGAGCAUCUUGUUCCUCCAUUUAAGCUUCCAGAGUUAAAAGGUUAGUUGAUUAAUGUCACCAUAAUAUAUGCCACCAAGUAAGCAGUUUCUGUGAUGAAUCAAACUAGCUCACUAUGAACUAACAAUGAAAAGAUAUGAACACCUGAGAAACUGGAGAACAGAGCAGUGGGAUACUGUCUGCUAGGAACUUAAUAUCACUUACAGUUUUGUCCUUUCCUAGGUACCUGUACCAUUUAGCGGCUUGUUCACUCAAAGGUGAGUGAUUUAUAUGUUGGUGCAUACCGUGUACUGAGGGAGAAAAUGCCUUUUUAGGCAUCUACACAUGAUGACUUACAUGGAAUCUCGUUCGGCUGAUGAUUUGCUGUUGAGACUCGGAAAUCUGAAUUUUUUUUUCUUUUAAGAACUUAAGUGGGAACAAAUUUUAAUGUAGGAAGUAAGCAUUACUGACUCAUUCUUGUUUUGUUUUAGAUCCAUCUUUUCUGGAGCCUGAGGAUGAUUGGAGGUGAAAGGUGUAAGCCAUACUCUGCUCAACUCCAGUCUGAAACUAAGGUUAAAAGAACACGUACUUAACACACGGGUAAGAAUCCAACUCUUGGAGGACAUCAGAAGUGGAAUUUUCUUAUACAACCUACCUAUUCAAAUUAGCAUAUAAUCUUUCUAGCCUUUCUAAAUAAAUAAAGGGAUUUUUUUGUAA